UUUUAUAAAAUAACAAAAGUAGCCUUGUUUUUUUCAAUGUCUUUUGCAAACAACCUGCGUCCGCACAUUCCUUCACCCUCCCUCGCCACCUCUACAACUUCCCCAUCUGCCUCCAUCACUCCUCCACUCCUCUCCACCUAUCUCGAUCAUCUCUACUUACCUCCGUCACUCCCCUACCAAUAUCCGCAAUUUCCCUACCUACCUUUGCUACCCUCAAAUCAUUCCUACUCAACCCAACACCGUAGUUGACCUAAAACCUAACCACUAGAACUACCCAAAACCCAAAAUUUACAAAGUGCACAAUUUGGAAUGGGUUUUGACAGAGGACUUCAUCACCAAUUGCCUGAUAUCUCUACAUCCUUGACUCUAGUGCCUAAAUUCAUACUUUAUGCGAUCUCCAUUGAUGAGCUUCUUUGACACUUGCUCGAUUAGGGUUUGCUUCUUUCUCAAUUUUGUUAUGGAACAUUGUCCAAUCUAGUGUUUAAAGGUACAUUGCUAAGACAUUGUACGGUGAUGAUGAUGAAGAGGUUACUCCUCAGAAUAGCGACACAGGGGAGGAGCCAAAAUGUUUAGGCCUUUACCCUGGAUCAAAUGAGAAGAUUCUCUUGAAGAAUGGUCCUUAUGGGUUCUAUGUUCAGCUUGGUGAGGACAGGAAGGGAUACUUGCCUAAAAGAGCCUCGGUUUCCCAAAUAAAAAAAAAUAUAGACUCUAUUACCCUGCAAGAUGCUAUUGAGUUGCUGCACUAGCCUGCAACAUUGGGAAACCAUCCUGAUGAUGGCCAGCCAGUUGUAUUGAAGCUUGAAAAGUUUGGAUUUUCCAUUAGACAUCGACACACAAUCGUGCCUGUACCUGAGAACUUGAAGCCGAAUGAUAUAACCUUUGAGAAAGCAUUAGAGCUUUUGUUGGGUAAAGAUGUAAAAUGAUGUGGCUGAGCCAAGAGCAAACCAAAGCUUGAAGGGGUUGUUGAGGAGAUAUAGGCAUGACAUAUUCUACGAGGCCGGGUACAAGAAAUUUAAAGUCUCUGCAAUUGGUAUGCAUAUAUAAAGACAUCCCAUUUGUGGCAUCUCCUCCAGUUCUUCCAUUGGUGAGGUUUGAACAGAGCCCAUACAGGUUGGAUCUAUCCCACACAGACAUAUCUAAUGGCAGGAAAUGUAGUGUAAUGGAAGUUAGUAGUAGCCAAUUUUGUUGUAAUUCACGAAUAAGCUUUUAAGUAAUAUUUAAUGUAGUGUUACUUGGAUUCCCUUUGAUUUGGCAAAAAAAUUCUUUACAAAGAUAUUUAAUAAAAAAAUGUUCUUUGUA